rnacentral:sRNA from 1 species
CCAUAGCCCCGAUAGCAGUGAAAAUCCUUAUUGUUUUUUCUUUAAAAACAAUAAGAUUGUAACGUAUAGCGGGAAAUAGC